rnacentral:rRNA from 1 species
UGGGGAAUAUUGCGCAAUGGAGGCAACUCUGACGCAGCCAUGCCGCGUGUGUGAAGAAGGCCCUCGGGUUGUAAAGCACUUUCAAUUGGGAGAAAAAGCUUGUCGUUAAUAGCGGCAAGCCUUGAUGUUACCUUUUAGAAGAAGCACCGGCUAACUCCGUGCCAGCAGCCGCGGUAAUACGGAGGGUGCGAGCGUUAAUCGGAAUUACUGGGCGUAAAGCGCGCGUAGGCGGUUGCUUAAGUCGGAUGUGAAAGCCCCGGGCUCAACCUGGGAACUGCAUUCGAUACUGGGCGACUAGAGUACGAGAGAGGGAGGUAGAAUUCCACGUGUAGCGGUGAAAUGCGUAGAUAUGUGGAGGAAUACCGGUGGCGAAGGCGGCCUCCUGGCUCGAUACUGACGCUGAGGUGCGAAAAGCGUGGGGAGCAAAAGCAGGAUUAGAUACCCUGGUAGUCCACGCCGUAAACGAUGUCUACUAGCCGUUGGGGUACUUGAGACCUUAGUGGCGCAGCUAACGCACUAAGUAGACCGCCUGGGAGUACGGCCGCAGGUU